rnacentral:lncRNA from 1 species
AUUUAUGAAGAGGCAGAUGAAAGAGGAAAGAAAGAGACGUAAGAUGAUGAAGAAAUUUGCUGCCGAGAUUAAAGAAUUUGCUAACGGGCAUAGUGAAAAUGUGGAAGAGGAGAGAAGUGAACCUGCUUCUGUUCCAGUUCCCAUGCCAGAUUUGUCUCUACCUGCAUCGUUCGACUCUGACAACCCUACUCACAGGUACCGGUCUCUUGAUUCCUCCAAUCAGUGGCUUGUUAGGCCAGUCCUGGAAACUCAGGGGUGGGAUCAUGAUGUUGGGUAUGAAGGUGUCAAUGCAGAACGACUUUUUGUUGUUAAAGAAAAGAUACCGAUAUCUUUCUCGGGGCAAGUUACAAAGGACAAAAAGGAUGCAAAUGUGCAGCUGGAAAUGGCCAGCUCGGUUAAACAUGGAGAGGGCAGAUCAACCUCCCUAGGUUUUGAGAUGCAAAAUGCUGGGAAGGAAUUGGCUUACACUGUUCGAAGUGAUACCAAAUUUAACAAUUUUAGGAAACACAAAGCUGCAGCUGGUCUCUCUGUAACGCUCUUGGGUGAUUCGGUGUCUGCGGGGCUGAAAGUUGAGGAUAAGUUGAUUGCUAAUAAAAGGUUCAGAAUGGUUAUGUGUGGAGGGGCAAUGACUAGUCGAGGAGAUGUUGCUUAUGGGGGUAGUUUAGAAGCUCAGCUGAGAGAUAAAGAUUAUCCGCUGGGUAGGUUUUUAUCUACUCUAGGACUUUCUGUGAUGGAUUGGCAUGGGGAUCUUGCUAUUGGAGGGAAUAUACAGUCCCAGGUGCCCAUAGGACGUUCAUCUAAUCUAAUAGCUCGUGCUAAUCUGAACAACAGAGGGGCAGGGCAAGUAAGCCUCCGCGUAAAUAGCUCUGAGCAGCUCCAACUUGCACUGGUCGCAUUGGUUCCUCUGUUCAAGAAGCUACUUAGUUAUUAUUCCCCUCAGCAAAUGGAAUAUUGACAAUAAUGGAUCACUUCGGGUUUCAAUUCACUUACUACAAGAACAUCCUAGAUUGAGAGUUGAAAAGGUACUAAUCUAUCUGCUUUUGCUUUCUUAUUCCAUUUGCUGUAAACCCGCUUUAUUGAUUGCUGAUGUGGCUUUUGGUUUUUGAGCAGGAACCUUGGUGUGCCCUUUGGGUUGAAAACUUUAAGAACAAUUUGUUGGAGGAGGCCUCUGUUUUCUUUACAUAGCCAGAACACUUGUUCGUUCCUUGUCUAAUUUAAGCAUAGUUGUGGUUUUAUUCUCUUUCCAAAACCUUUGUAUGGCUUUCUGUUCAUGUCUACCUCUGGAUUUUUCAUAAAGCUUGUUAAAAUUAUGCUGCAAUCUACUUGUUGAUUUUAAGACACCCAUCAUCACCCUCUGAGCUAGCCGUAAUUCAAGGCUUUUAAAGGGAGUUUUGUAGGGGUCCUUAUCAUCUGCUAAACGUCUUUUAAUGUUGUCAAGCAUCUAUUGUAAGCUGCUUUGGAAAGUCAAAGUUGCUGGUAACUUUUGUUGCGCCAGUUCGUAUUAUGCGUCUUUCCCUCAAAUCAAAAGAUUCUGUUGUUGAUACUGUUACUGCGAAUCUCACAUUGUCACGUUGAGUCCCACCAAAUCCAUUGGUUUGGUGCUCAUGCAAUCCAUCUGCGAGACUUCUGUUACACAAUUUGCUCUUGUUAGCAGCGAGAUGUGGUAGCUUUGGUCUUGUUGUCAUUAUAAAAGCUUCUGUGGUGGAAAUACCGUUUGGAUUUGCCAGUUCUUAACGGAAGAGAUUAUCUAUGUGAAAGUUGUCACUGCAUGUUUUGACUUGUCUAAUAUUGUCGAGUAGGAAGCUUUUAAUGGGAGAAGAUGGUAGACAAGAAGUUUACAGUGUUGGGCUGCAAGAGUAUGAAGUCUCAGAUGUUCAAAUUGUAAGGUACUUAUCGAGAAAGGGAACGCUGAAAGGAGCACAGGGUCAACUGGAGCAAAUGGGGAGUCAUCUAGAUCACAUGCUAUCUUACAACUUGUUGGAAAGAAACACGUUUUGAGGUAAAAGAAACCAGACGUAAAAAUGAUGAUGCCAAUGAAUUGCCUGGGAAAGUUGUUGGGAAGAGUACUUUCAUUGAUCUUGCUGGCAGUGAAAGAGGUGCAGACACCACAGACAAUGACCGCCAGACAAGGUGAGAAUGCUCUCUAGACCUCGUGGCUGAGUACUGAUGUGGGACCCACAAAUGACGCUGGAGAUGAUGUCAUGGCACGCUGGCAAUGAUCAGCGUUAUCUUUCAAACCUUCUGAUGCAGGUUCUUUGCUUUCCCUGAGUCUUUCUUUCCAUUACACUCUUCCAAUAACUUGCAUGCCUUGUAGGUGGUAAUUGCCAAUGUUUUGUUAGAGCUUUGGUUCGCUGAAUGCUGAGUAUGAAUGUAAGCUUGGAAUCUUUUUGACCAUCCUUGUGAAUUGUGCUUAUCUUGCUAGAAUUUGUUUCAGGGCAUGUUAGUAAUUUAUCUCUUUCGAUUGGUAAUUUUCUUAGCUAUAGAAACUUUACUGGCUGGCUGCUUUGUGUUUGUUUUUGCUGUAUCUGCCACGGUUAUGGAGCUCAGACUGCUGGAGAGAAUCAAAAGCUUUUCAAACUAAUGUGAAAUCUGAAUCUCAACGGAGAGUACUCUGAAUCAUAUAUACACCAUCAGCAGCUAUGCCUUCUUCGGAAGGAUUUUUUUUCCACCCGAGUUCAGAGAUGAUUUUGGAGCUUGUUUGAUGGGAUCUUCAUGCAGUGGAUGACUCAGAGCUUCUCUCUGAGGUACGUUUGGAAGGACAACUAGACAUAGAUCAUUCAUAGUUAUGUUGAUUGGUAUGUUCUGUAGAAACUAUAGCCUCUCUUGAAACUAAUUCUCAGCUUCUCUUAACUUCAGACCGUGAAGAGAAAGUGUCACCACCUCGUGGGAAAGGGUUGCGGGAAGAAAAACCAGCCAGACCACAAAACUUGUCUAAGAGAGACGUCAGGUCGUCAGAUAUCCCCUACCUUUACAAACUUUAGGCAGACACAAGUAAGCCAUACAUAUAUAUAUAUUAUAUAUAUAACCGACCCUUCACUUGAUGAAAACAUCGAUGCACUGUUUGAGGUAAAAUUUAACCAAUUUAGUAAGCCAUACAUAUAUAUAUAUAUAUAUAAAACAAUCACGUUUGUAAUAGCUAAUAUAAAAUAUUUGCGACUGACAAUAAUAGAAAAGACAGGUGAGUAACUCCAAGAAAGAAGAAAACAAGUAUCUGUCUCGUGUAGUGAUGGCAAAAAGGCCAACAAGAUUUAGCAGCCCACCUAAAAGGCCUUGGCCCACUUCAUGUUUCCACCGUACGAUGCUUAAACCCAAAACGGAUAUCCACCGUCCCUGGAAAGCUCUUAUCUCCCUCCUCCUCCACCUUCCCCGUCAGAAGUUUGCCUCUCUCCCUCUCUCUCUCUAAACGAGGUUAGCUUUCUCUUUUUUUUUGUAUAAGCUUUUAGGGGUUUCACUUUCAAUGAUAGAGACGAGUAUUCUAGAGUUUCGUUUCUGCUCUAAUUUUAUCGUUAGGGUUAAGCCUUUUUAGUCUGAUUGAUUCGUGAUUUCGUUUUGUUUAUGGUUGUAAGUAGGUAUGGAAGAGAAGAAGCUUGCAGACGAUGGAAACAGCGAUGAGCAAGUAGAGAAAAUUGAAUUGGUGGUUUCUGAUGUUGAUGCGAGGGAUACCGAAGAUGAGGAAGCUAUUGACAGUUCAAAGCCUGAAUCUCUCCAACCCGAUGAUUUACCUUCAGAGGAAGUGAAAGAUCCAAAGGAGGUUAAUGGAGAGAGCCAUGGUGAGGCAAACCUGCAACAUAUAACUACGGGAGAGGCUGUACCAGGUUUUGUGACUUCCCGAAUGAAUGGUGAUGAAGGGGAAGCAGGUGCAGGGAAUGUCAGCGAGACAUCCACACAUUCUUUUUCUGAAAAUGGAACUGUCUUUCUUGAGAAGAAACAGCUGGUGGCUGAAGUGAUCGAGGAAACAACAAAUGAUGGUAUUGAAGAGGAAAACAAGGAGGAAACUGUUGAUGUAUCUGGGGCACAAAGAAAUGGUGAACGUGCUUCAGGUGAGAGAUCUUUCAAUGAUAGUAUUCAAGUAGCUUCUGCUGGGACCUCAUCUCCGUUGGAGAAAUCUAGUUCUGAGGAAAAUGGAGAGACUGAAGGUCGCAUCAGUAGAGAUCAUGAUACAGUUCAAAAUGGAGGACUUGGUGUUGAACAUACUUCUCUACCUAAUAAGGAUUUUGAGAAGCAGCAAGGCAGCAGAGUGAAUAUUAUGAGUCCAGAGAUUCAGGAAAGAAAAUCUGAGGUAGCAAUUUCUGUUUCCCCAACAGAGUCUACAAGUCCUGCUCGCCCAGCAGGCCUUGGGCGUGAUGCUCCUCUUUUGGAAUCCACACCACGUGUUCUUCAUCAGCCUCGUGUCAAUGGUAAUGUGUCUCAGAAUCAGUCUGAGCAAGCAGAGGACCCUACCCCUGCAGAGACCGAUGAGCAUGAUGAGACCCGUGAGAAGCUCCAAUUGAUCAGGGUCAAGUUUUUGAGGCUUUCACAUAGAUUAGGGCAAACUCCACAUAAUGUUGUUGUUGCUCAGGUUUUGUAUAGGCUUGGAUUAGCAGAGCAGUUGAGGGGGAGAAACGGAAGCCGUGUUGGUGCCUUUAGCUUUGAUCGAGCCAGUUCCAUGGCAGAACAACUUGAGGCAGCUGGACAGGAUCCACUUGAUUUUUCUUGUACAGUUAUGGUGCUCGGUAAAAGUGGUGUUGGUAAGAGUGCUACGAUUAAUUCUAUUUUUGAUGAAGUGAAGAUCUGUACGGAUGCAUUCCAGAUGGGGACAAAGAGGGUUCAGGAGGUUGAGGGUUUUGUUCAGGGAAUUAAGGUUCGGGUGAUUGACACUCCAGGCCUCUUACCAUCAUGGUCUGAUCAACACAAAAAUGAGAAAAUGUUGAAGUCUGUUAAGGUUUUCAUCAAGAAAAAUCCACCGGAUAUCGUAUUAUAUCUUGAUAGGCUGGAUAUGCAAAGCAGAGAUUCUGGUGACACGCCUCUCUUGCGCACCAUCACUGAUGUUUUUGGACCAUCGAUAUGGUUUAAUGCCAUUGUGGGUUUGACUCAUGCCGCUUCUGCUCCACCAGAUGGCCCAAAUGGCACUGCCUCUAGCUAUGACAUGUUUGUAACACAACGUUCCCAUGUCAUUCAGCAGGCCAUUCGCCAAGCAGCUGGAGAUAUGAGGCUCAUGAACCCUGUGUCUUUAGUUGAGAACCACUCUGCUUGCAGGACAAAUCGGGCAGGUCAGAGAGUAUUACCGAAUGGCCAAGUGUGGAAGCCUCAUUUGCUGUUACUCUCAUUUGCGUCCAAGAUUCUAGCAGAAGCAAACGCUCUUCUGAAAUUACAAGAUAAUAAUACUCCAGGGAGACCAUUUGUUGCUCGAUCCAAGGCUCCACCACUGCCACUUCUCCUCUCAUCGUUUCUGCAAUCAAGACCGCAAGCUAAACUUCCUGAAGAGCAGUAUGGUGAUGAAGAAGAUGAAGAUGAUUUGGACGAAUCAUCAGGUUCUGACGAAGAAUCAGAGUACGACCAGCUUCCUCCUUUUAAGCGAUUGACUAAAGCUGAGAUGGCUAGGCUUAGUAAAUCUCAGAAGAAGCAAUAUCUUGAUGAGAUGGAGUACCGGGAGAAACUAUUUAUGAAGAGGCAGAUGAAAGAGGAAAGAAAGAGACGUAAGAUGAUGAAGAAAUUUGCUGCCGAGAUUAAAGAAUUUGCUAACGGGCAUAGUGAAAAUGUGGAAGAGGAGAGAAGUGAACCUGCUUCUGUUCCAGUUCCCAUGCCAGAUUUGUCUCUACCUGCAUCGUUCGACUCUGACAACCCUACUCACAGGUACCGGUCUCUUGAUUCCUCCAAUCAGUGGCUUGUUAGGCCAGUCCUGGAAACUCAGGGGUGGGAUCAUGAUGUUGGCUACGAAGGUGUC